GACGAAGGAUGCAAGCGUUAUCCGGAUUCACUGGGUUUAAAGGGUGCGUAGGCGGGUUGGUAAGUCCGUGGUGAAAUCUCCAAGCUUAACUUGGAAACUGCCGUGGAUACUAUCAAUCUUGAAUGUCGUGGAGGUAAGCGGAAUAUGUCAUGUAGCGGUGAAAUGCUUAGAGAUGACAUAGAACACCAAUUGCGUAGGCAGCUUACUACACGAAUAUUGACGCUGAGGCACGAAAGCGUGGGAGCAACAGG
rnacentral:rRNA from 1 species